UUAACUUCAAAAUUUACUGUUUCACACCUUUCAGUUUUGGAUAAAUUAAAUGACUAGACACUUGAAUUCAUUUUAGAACUUUACUAUAAAUCUCCUUUUUGGUUGAGCAAUUCACUUUGCAAAUACUCAAUGUUUUGUCAUCAUCAAAAAGGGGGAGAUUGUGGAGUGAUUGAUUAUAACCCUAUUUGAUUUUGAUGAG
rnacentral:lncRNA from 1 species